UCUGCUGUGGGAGACAAGAGAAGGGAGAAAAGACGGGGGUGAAACACUCCGCAUCUGCCGUUCCCACGGUGGUCGUCCUCGUCGUCCAACCCUGCGCGCCCGACGAGGACCGCGGCAUCCGCACCUUCACCAAGCAGUCCGCGGCGGACAAGCGCCCCAGCUAUGGGCACCGCCCACGAGCUCUGCGCCGGACGGUCCGGUCAAGGAGCUUUGCAAGCAAAGAUACAAAUUCUGACCAGUUGGAGUUGAACAACAAUAAUCAACAACAUGACUCAGGGAAUGACAGCAUGACUGACCAGCAGGAGCAAACAUCUCGUGGCAUUUGUUCACAAGCUACGUAAACUAUAGUUGAUUUGACAGAAAGUGAUGCAUCAGACGGCAUGUUGCUUGAUGGCUUGAGAACAAUCUUGCAGAAAAGACAAGAGAGGAAGCAGGAAAUGAGUGUUUUAAAAGAGCAAAGGGACAAGGUACUCGUUGACAAAGAAAACUACUUCAAUAUGUUUUUCUACUAACGAGGCCCAGGUCUGUGUACACAUGUGGCCUUUUCCUUCUCAAACAAACAAGAACAAACAAACAAAAAGCCCAACAAAAACAAGGGCAGGUUGCGGGGGUUGUUGGGCUGGAAGGGAUGGGCUGCCCACACAACAAACAAACUGGUCGACACGAGGUGAUCGGGGAGCAACCACGCGUAUUGUUUGUCAACAAGUGGGGACAGAUUAGAUGUAACAUAGACAUACCCUUUUUUUAAUUCAUCAAUAAUUCUUGGACUUUUCUAAAUCCAUGGAAUAUCUUAAAUUUUAUUUAAAAAAAUUCGUGAACAUUUUAAUAAUCCAUGAACAUUUUUUGAAUGUACAUUUAUUUUUUAGUUCUGGUGAAAAUACCACUAGUCGAUAUUGUUCAUUGAACAACAAUUUUUUCUUCAGAGGAGCGAGCGCCACCAUAUAAAAAAUAACGAGCAAAGUUUACAAAGAGAACACCAUUUAGCCAGCCCGCCAGAGGUUAUAGGAGCAAUCCGGGGCUAAAGGCGCUGAAUAAAGUGUUUCCCACCUGCACCAUGUGUUUCUCAAAAAAAAAAAAACCUGCACCAUGUUUGGCUGAUUGUCGCCUUUUUAAUGUGUCUUUUGUCCAUCAGUUUUGGAAAGGUUUUAGAACCUUUCGUGUAUGGGUUUUUCUAUAUAUAUUUUUGCCGGCAUUACCUUUUCCACAGGGUUGUUUCAUUUUCUCUUUUAUUAAUCUUUUUUGUUUCAUUUUUAUUAUAUAAAUUCAUGUGUAUUUUUAAAAAUCCUGAAUUGUUUUUCAAAUUUGCAUCUUCCUCUAUUCUCCUUCAAAGCAUUAGAAUAAAAAAAGACACCAGCUAGCGAACGACAUGCAAGCAAGCAACAACUAGUGCUGCUUGAGCCCGGUCCAACACCCUCGCCAGAGCGCGACACCUGUAUCACUGAGUGGAACAGGAGCGAUCGCUGAGUAAGACAUCAUGGUCGGUAUUCGCCCCUCAGUCAUUGAUAUGAAAAAAAUCACAGAGAAUGAACAUAAUUAUCGAUAUGGAAAAUUUUUAUGGAGAAGCAACAUAACUAAAACUAAUCUUCUACCAAUAAUAUAACAAUCCAGAGACUGAUUACAAUGAGAAUAGCCCAAUGGUGACUUUUGAUUUCGGUGUGCAAUUCACACCUAAACUAGACUGGAAUCAGCUGAGCUACACUCUGACUCUAAUGACUAGCACAAUUAACAUGAAUAAUCACUACUAUUAAAGGAGAGUUUCUAGGUUUGCCUCACCUCCUCCUGGGUUUUUUCCUCCCCAUGCCCCCUCUCUUUUGGUUUCCUCUAGAUUUCUUUAGUAAUUUAAACGAACGUUGCACAAAACAAAACCAACAUACAUAAUUCUAAAUCAAAACGAUACUUUAUUUCUUUGUCAUACUCAUUCUCUCCUCUUAGUUUGCUUGCUAUUUUUUUCACGAUCACCAAUAUAUACUCCAAAAAAAUUGGUAAUCAAUUCACGGAUAAGAAUCAAUCAGAAGACGGUAAUCUUCAUAAAUAUUUUGUAGUCAAAUCAUGAAAAUGAAUCAAUCAUAAGACAAUAAUCUUCAUAAAUAUUAGGCAAUGAAUACAAAAACUACACGAAUCAUGCACAAUGACAAAAAAUACUCAGGAUCAACUUCCUAAACUGAAGGCACCUGAUUUUCCAGGAUUACUAAUCUCUCACAUGUCCUUCCAAAUCAUAAAGCGACGGCCCACAUCUUCCUAACACACCAUCCUUCCCUCCUAAAAAACCUCGUUCUUCCUCUUCUCCACCAUACACACACAGUAAUGCUAGACGUACAGGCACUUACAGGCUGAAUUUAGUUACACGCUGACAUGGCAAAGUGGGAUUGGAAAGAAGGGAGUGAGGCGG